rnacentral:rRNA from 2 species
CCUACGGGAGGCAGCAGUAGGGAAUCUUCGGCAAUGGACGAAAGUCUGACCGAGCAACGCCGCGUGAGUGAAGAAGGUUUUCGGAUCGUAAAACUCUGUUGUUAGAGAAGAACGUUGUGUAGAGUGGAAAAUUACACAAGUGACGGUAUCUAACCAGAAAGGGACGGCUAACUACGUGCCAGCAGCCGCGGUAAU